AAUAGAUACCCAGGUAGUCCACGCCGUAAACGAUGAGUGCUAAGUGUUAGGGGGUUUCCGCCCCUUAGUGCUGCAGCUAACGCAUUAAGCACUCCGCCUGGGGAGUACGGUCGCAAGACUGAAACUCAAAGGAAUUGACGGGGGCCCGCACAAGCGGUGGAGCAUGUGGUUUAAUUCGAAGCAACGCGAAGAACCUUACCAGGUCUUGACAUCCCAUUGACCACUAUGGAGACAUAGUUUUCCCUUCGGGGACAACGGUGACAGGUGGUGCAUGGUUGUCGUCAGCUCGUGUCGUGAGAUGUUGGGUUAAGUCCCGCAACGAGCGCAACCCUUGUUCUUAGUUGCCAUCAUUUAGUUGGGCACUCUAAGGAGACUGCCGGUGACAAACCGGAGGAAGGUGGGGAUGACGUCAAAUCAUCAUGCCCCUUAUGACCUGGGCUACACACGUGCUACAAUGGACGGUACAAACCGGUUGCCAACCCGCGAGGGGAGCUAAUCCGAUAAAACCGUUCUCAGUUCGGAUUGUAGGCUGCAACUCGCCUACAUGGAAC
rnacentral:rRNA from 1 species